rnacentral:rRNA from 1 species
GACGAACGCUGGCGGCGUGCCUAACACAUGCAAGUCGAGCGAAGUGAGUACUACGGUACGAACUUAGCGGCGGACGGGUGAGUAACGCGUGGACACUCUACCCUGUAGACUGGGAUAACACCUCGAAAGGGGUGCUAAUACCGGAUAAUGUCGAGAAGCGGCCUCGCCUUUCGAAGAAAGGAGAGAAUCCGCUAUGGGAGGAGUCCGCGUCCCAUUAGCUAGAUGGCGAGGGUAACGGCCCACCAAGGCGACGAUGGGUAGCCGGCCUGAGAGGGUGAACGGACACACUGGAACUGAGACACGGUCCAGACUCCUACGGGAGGCAGCAGUGGGGAAUAUUGUGCAAUGGGGGAAACCCUGACACAGCAACGCCGCGUGAGCGAAGAAGGCCUUCGGGUUGUAAAGCUCAAUAGUAUGGGAAGAUAAUGACGGUACCAUACGAAAGCCCCGGCUAACUACGUGCCAGCCGCCGCCGUAAUAC